AAUUCUAGCACACCUACACAAUGGAGUACUAUGCUCCUGUAAAACAGAAUGAGGAGGAUCUCCAUGAGCUGAUAUGGAAUGAUUUCCAGGACAUACUACUCCGUGAGAAGGAAAAGCACAAAAGGGAAUAAUGUUGAAAACAUGAGACAAAUUCAUAUUGAGGAACAUUCUAAAACAUAACUGACCAGUACUCUGUCAAGAACAUUAAAGACAAGAAAAACAUGAGGGGCUGCCACAGAUUAGGUGGAGAAGAAUGAGGAGGAAGCAGUGUGGGAUCCUUGAUUCGAUCCUGGAGCAGAAAUUGAUGGAAUUGGAAUAAGAAUGAAUUUGAAAUUAAGAGAUCUUUGGGGACCUUGGCAGAACUGGGUUCGGUGGACUGGUGAUAAUGGAAUGCAGGUGCUUUGGUUGAAGACUGAACAUGAACUGAAAAAGGGGAGACACAGAAUGAGUUUAGUCUACCAUCUUGAGAAGGCUAGAAGGAAGUUAUACACCGCCUCUCAUCUGAGUGUAGUGUUACACUCGUGGCUAUUUGAGUAUGAGGAAAAAUUCCCUUGCUAGCAACCACUAUCCAAUAAAAAGGCUGAAUUU